UUUAGGAAUUUUAAAGCCAGAUGGCGUGAAAAUGUCCUCAUCUUCUCUGGGACAGGAAAUCCUUUUUACCUACAUAGAAAAGUUACGUUAUUGGAAUUUACAUCCCUCCUCCAUAAGAAAAAAGACAUUAUCUUCUCUUCCAAAUGUCCACCAUGCCAAUUUUAUCUCUUUCUUAUUAUAUUUAACUUUAAAAAUCUUGAUCAUUAUAAUUGCUGUGGGUCGUAUAUUCACUGUGAAUAUUCUGUGAGAGAUGACAGUUUUAUUCCUAAUAACCUGCAUAUUAAGAAUCGCCAUGCCUUUUUCAUGGUUAGUGUUCAAUCCACAUGUUAAAAGAAUGAAAAAUGCAUUACUGAAUUAUCUUAUAUUACCCUUUUUUGCAGAAUAAUUCUUUGUAGUGUUAGUGAAAUAUGCCGAAUAUUAAAAUAGGAACCAAACUUUUUAUAAAAUGCUGCCUCUGCUGUCUCACAAUGCCUAAUGCUACCUCUAAACGAUAGUUAUUAUUCUUUUCUGUAAUAUAAAGAAACAUAGUCAUGCCAAUUGGUUUUUUGCCACUAUAUAUCCAGUGGGAAUCACACAGAGAAUCAAUUCAUUACAAUGAUAAAUUACACCAUUAAAUAGUAUAUUAUGCCAGAAUAAUCUAGAAGGUCAUGAAAGAAAGAUUAAGAGAUGACAAGAGAAUCUACAAUGUGUAAGAAAGUGCAUGAUACAUGAAAAAAUAGGUUUUGGUUUGAUAUCUACCAAAUACGUUAAAUGAAUAUAUAACCCUGUAAAAAUUGAAAAAUUACAUACUUGUAAAA
rnacentral:lncRNA from 1 species